UGAACGCUGGCGGUAUGCCUAACACAUGCAAGUCGUACGAGAGUUUUUAACUCAAGUGGCGGACGGGUGAGUAACACGUAAGAAUUUACCUUUAGGAGGGGGAUAAACUGGUAAUACCCCAUAUGCUUUCGAGUAAAAUGGAGUUUUCUGCCUAGAGAGAAGCUUGCGGCUGAUUAGCUUGUUGGUAAGGUAAUGGCUUACCAAGGCGACGAUCAGUAUCUGGUUUGAGAGGACGAUCAGACACACUGGAACUGAGACACGGUCCAGACUCCUACGGGAGGCAGCAGUGAGGAAUUUUCCGCAAUGGGCGAAAGCCUGACGGAGCAAUACCGCGUGAGGGAUGACGGCCUAUGGGUUGUAAACCUCUUUUUUCAGGGAGGAAUAAAUGACGUGUACCUGAAGAAUAAGCAUCGGCUAACUCC
rnacentral:rRNA from 1 species